rnacentral:rRNA from 1 species
AUUGAACGCUGGCGGCAGGCCUAACACAUGCAAGUCGAACGAGUGGCGGACGGGUGAGUAAUGUCUGGGAAAAUGCCUGAUGGAGGGGGAUAACUACUGGAAACGGUAGCUAAUACCGCAUACCAUCAGAUGUGCCCAGAUGGGAUUAGCUAGGUGGUGGGGUAACGGCUCACCAAGGCGACGAUCCCUAGCUGGUCUGAGAGGAUGACCAGCCACACGUGAACUGAGACACGGUCCAUAGUCCUACGGGAGGCAGCAGUGGGGAAUAUUGGACAAUGGGCGCAAGCCUGAUGCAGCCAUGCCGCGUGUAUGAAGAAGGCCUUCGGGUUGUAAAGUACUUUCAGCGGGGAGGCGUUACCCGCAGAAGAAGCACCGGCUAACUCCGUGCCAGCCGCCGCGGUAAUAC